CUAGGAGAUGCAUUGAGGAAAACUUCCUUCAUGAACCCACAAAACUUCCCCCUUUGCUCACAAGAUUUUGAUUACCUGAGACAUGGCCAAGCAAGAGGUGUUGCAGGCAACCCAUGAGAAUUCAUUCAAGCCACUGAUUAGAAAUAGAUGCAACAAAAUUAGGAGCUCAAGAUAUACCAGGAGGAGGCAGGGAAUGACAUUUAACAUAAGGCCUUCUGUGGUUCCCAUUGCAAAUGUGCUCAUCCUGUUGCAUUGGAGUGCCAAAAACCAAUCUGUUUUUUUGGUCUGGGAAUGGAUCAGGAUACGUGGCAGUACCUACAAGCACACUUCAAAAACAAUGCUAAUAUGUAGUUUAGGAUUUAUCAUUUGUUAUUAGUUUUUUACUGCAGAGACUUUUAUCAAGGUGCUUUUAUGAAGAAUAAAUAUUAUUUUAACCAUAUCACUCCUGGAAAAAGAGAUUUGGGGUUUCAUAGUAACCUAAUAGUGGAUCUUGAAAACAACUCACACCCCCUGAUUUGCAAUUCAUCCUUCUACUCUGGAAAAAUUAGCAUUACAAAAAGCUGUCAAUAUGAUAAACCAGGUUUGCUCUUAAGAAUGAUUUACCUGA